rnacentral:rRNA from 1 species
UACGGAGGGUGCUAGCGUUGUUCGGAAUCACUGGGCGUAAAGCGCGUGUAGGCGGCCUGUUAAGUCUGAUGUGAAAGCCCGGGGCUCACCCCCGGAAGUGCAUUGGAAACUGCCAGGCUCGAGUCCCGGAGAGGAGGGUGGAAUUCCUGGUGUAGCGGUGAAAUGCGUAGAUAUCAGGAGGAACACCGGUGGCGAAGGCGGGUCUCUGGGCCGAUACUGACGCUGAGGAGCGAAAGCGUGGGGAGCGAACAGG